rnacentral:rRNA from 1 species
CCUACGGGAGGCAGCAGUGGGGAAUAUUGGACAAUGGGCGAAAGCCUGAUCCAGCAAUGCCGCGUGAGUGAUGAAGGCCUUAGGGUUGUAAAGCUCUUUUACCAGGGAUGAUAAUGACAGUACCUGGAGAAUAAGCUCCGGCUAACUCCGUGCCAGCAGCCGCGGUAAUACGGAGGGAGCUAGCGUUGUUCGGAAUUACUGGGCGUAAAGCGUACGUAGGCGGUUAUUCAAGUCAGAGGUGAAAGCCUGGAGCUCAACUCCAGAACUGCCUUUGAGACUAGAUAGCUAGAAUCUUGGAGAGGUGAGUGGAAUUCCGAGUGUGGAGGUGAAAUUCGUAGAUAUUCGGAAGAACACCAGUGGCGAAGGCGACUCACUGGACAAGUAUUGACGCUGAGGUACGAAAGCGUGGGGAGCAAACAGGAUUAGAUACCCUGGUAGUCCACGCCGUAAAACGAUGAUAACUAGCUGUUCGGGCUCUACGAGCUGUGUGGCGCGAGCUACGACAUUAAGUUAGUUCCGCCGUCGGGUAGGUACGGUCGGCGAGAAGUAAACGUAACGUUAAAGAAGUUAGUUAGGCGUGAGACGNGCCGACGGACGACGACGAGGGAGGAGG